rnacentral:lncRNA from 1 species
GGGAAUAUAGCCAGGUCAGUUAUCAAGGUCAGAUUAUGGGAACAAUCCUUCCCUUUAAACUUAAGAAUGGUGACUUCCUGGCUUAAUUAUUUGCUGUGUCGAUAGUCCACACUUCUACUGACUUGGCUUUUAGCUCAUAGAGAAGAUGAAGCCCAAGUAUGAUUGAUAACCCCCUACUUGGAGGCAAGUUUUCCAAAGAACAGCUCAACACAUGUUGGUACUCUGCAUCAUUCUGAAGAUAAAACCAUCUCCCCAUGGAAGUGUGUUGUGCACAGAAGAAGCUGGAUUGACAGUUGGAUUCACUGAGCUGCGUUGGGAACAGGGCAGUUGGAACCAGAGAAGUGGGAGAGCACUCCUCAUCCGCUGUGCACCAGAGGCACUCUCCUCUUCUGUAAGACAAUAUCUUAAACUCAGCCAAACCUGCUUGUUAUUUUUCCCAAGAAGCCUGGUAUAUCCUUGUUCUCCAUAUCCAUCCACCCUAGCUAGAAACCUCAAGAUAAUAUUGGAAGCCAAGAACAAAGUUAGGGGGAAAUCAUUUUUCAGGUUUUUAAGAGCUAUGCUUUUUCUUCCAGGAUCCUCAAAAGAAUUUUUCCUCUCAUUCAUACAUAGAAAGAAGUCAGUGAUCCUAAGAUUCAACAAUGCCACUUCUCUGAAUCUACCCUAAAGACACACUCACAUGUGUACAUAAAGAAGCAUGUAUAAGCAUAUUUUUUGUAAAAGGCAAAAAGUGAAAAUAGUCUAAAAGUCAAUUCAUGAAACACAUGCUAAUAAACCAUGUUCUAUUCAUGACA